UGGUUGGAGGGGUGCAGAGAGGCGUUGAAGUGCGAGCAAAAAGGAGCAGAGAGAAAGAGAGGGGAGAGAGAGUAGGGAAUUGGAAGCUGAGGUCUGGCCUCCUCUCUCUCUCCUCCCCGCCUGUUCUAGAUCGUCAGUUCGUCACGCCUCUGUUUUUCUUCUUUUUGUCUAGUUGUUUUCUUCGGUUUACUGCGCUGUUCUAGUGAUGCAUUUGUCUCGCUUGUUUUAGGGUUUUUUUUGUUCUGUUUUUUUGAGAUCUUGUGUUUUUUUUUCCCGUGUGAUUUGUGUGUGUUUCGCCCCCAAUUUGCUGCUGGUGUGUUCCCGAUGUGAUCCGGAGGAAAAAAAAGAUGUUUUUUUGUUUGAUAUACCUCCUCCGAAUGAUCCUCUGUGAUUUUAUUCGUAAAGGAGGGAUUGUUUUUACUAUUUCUGGAGCAGAUCUACGUUCGUUUGCAUGUGAAGCUGGAGCUGCUGGAAAAAGCUACAUCAAAGCUUGAGGAGGAGAGGAAGGUGCAAAGGAAAGUCUUUCCUGGCUGUGGAGCUAUGACUUACUUCCCGGAUGAGGUGGUGGAGCACAUCUUUGACUUCCUGAGCUCCCACCGAGACCGUAAUAAUGUGUCGACAGUGUGCAAGGCAUGGUAUUUGGUGGAGAGGCUCAGCCGCCGGUGUGUAUUCGUUGGCAACUGUUACGUCUUGCGGCCAGAACGAGUAAUGGCCAGGUUCCCUAGAAUGAAGUGCCUCACUGUCAAGGGGAAGCCCCAUUUUGCUGAUUUCAAUCUGGUUCCCCACGAUUGGGGAGGCUAUGCGCUACCGUGGAUUGAGGCGGCUGCCCGAUGUUGCCCUGGUUUGGAUGAGCUCCGACUGAAGAGGAUGGUGGUGUCGGACGACAGCCUUGAGGUUCUAGCCCGCUCUUUCCCCAAAUUUAAGGCCCUUGUUCUAAUUAGCUGCGAGGGUUUCAGCACUGAUGGACUUGCUGCGAUUGCUACUCACUGCAGGGGUCUUAGGGAGCUAGAUUUACAGGAAAAUGAAGUGGAAGAUCAUGGUCGGCAGUGGCUGAGUUGCUUCCCUGAUUCCUGUACUUCAUUGGUAUCUCUAAAUUUUGCAUGUCUAAAAGGAGAGGUGAAUACAAGUGCUCUUGAGCGACUUGUUGCUAGGUGCCAGAAUCUAAGGUGCUUGAAGCUUAAUCGAGCAAUAUCUAUUGAGUCACUUAUCAGGAUACUUGCCCAAGCCCCCAGUUUGGUGGAACUUGGAACCGGCUCAUUCACAGCUGACCACCUCACUGAAGCUUACCAGAAUCUAAUUAAUGCCUUCUACAGAUGCAAAUCUAUAAGGAAUUUGUCAGGUUUCUGGGAUGCUUCUCCUCGCUGUUUGCAGUCCAUAUAUUCCAUCUGUUCAAACCUUACUGUUCUUAACUUAAGCUAUGCCCCUGCGAUCCAGGGUAAUGAUCUAAUAAAGAUGAUUCGUCACUGUUUCAAACUUCAAAAGCUUUGGGUAUUAGAUUGCAUCGGAGACAAAGGAUUAGCAGCUGUGGCCUCUGCCUGUAAAGAGUUACAGGAGUUGAGGGUAUUUCCGUCUGAUAUCUCUGGUACUGGCACUGCUGCUGUGACUGAAGAAGGCCUUGUUGCUAUAUCUUCAGGCUGCCCAAAGUUGAAUUCUUUACUGUAUUUCUGCCACCAGAUGACAAAUGCUGCACUGAUCACUAUUGCAAACAACUGUCCCCAUUUCACACGGUUCAGGCUGUGUAUUCUUGAUCCCAGAAAGCCAGAUCCCAUCACUAAUCAUCCAUUGGAUGAAGGUUUUGGAGCAGUUGUGAAGUCGUGCAAAGAUCUGAAGAGAUUAUCAUUAUCAGGCCUUCUAACUGACAAGGUUUUCUUGUAUAUAGGCAUGUAUGCUGCACGUCUAGAGAUGCUUUCAAUUGCAUUUGCUGGUGAGAGUGAUAAAGGAAUGGUUUACGUGCUCAAUGGAUGCAAGAAUCUUAAAAAGCUUGAAAUAAGAGAUAGUCCUUUUGGUGAUGCGGCACUUUUGGAGAAUGUAGGGAAGUAUGAAACAAUGCGAUCCCUUUGGAUGUCAUCGUGUGAUGUUACUCUAGGGGGUUGCAGGGCACUUGCCACAAAGAUGCCAAGAUUGAAUGUUGAAGUUAUAAACGAGAUGGAUGAAAAUGAUGAGAUGGUGGAAAAUCCCAGUGACAUGCAUAGGGUGGAGAAGAUGUAUGUUUAUCGAAGUCUGACCGGGCCAAGGAACGAUGCACCAGAAUUUGUCUGGAUAUUUUAGAGUUCUUCACCUCAGGAUCAUGAGUAUUAGUAGCACAUAAGAAGCAUUCAGCAUUCUAGGAGGCAUGGAUAAACUGGAGGGUGGUCAGUUCCAGGAUAAGCUUGUCAUGUGGAGUGUCUUUUCCUUUCUGCAAUGUGCUUGAAGCCCGUCAUUCCUAGUAUUAACCCUUUUUGUGUUAGGAUUUAAUUCUGCCUUUGCACCAAGGAAGAAGAGAAGCAGCAACAAUGACAGAUGAGGUGGUCGUGGAGGACAAAACAAAAGGAAUUUUUGCAGACGUUGGAGCAGCUUGCCAACAAGUAACACUUUCACAUGAUGCUGUAACACUUUUGGUUUUAACUCGAUCUUUGGAACGGGACCAAGAAUCAAACCACCAGUCUGACGUUCUUAUGAUAUUUGAUCACUCCAGCAGAAUUAACUGGAUAAACUAUGUCUGCAACAGUUGGUGCAAGGUUUAGGGAAAGCUUAAGCGACCACAGCAAAUGCUGCUGCUGCUGCGUAAAAUCUCGUAGCUAGGGCUCUCAAGGUCCUUUCUGCGCUCUGCGUAGAUUCCUUUGUGCCAGCCCGAGGAAAGGUCUCAAGCUUCAACUUGUAAAAGAAUUCGAAGCAGAGGAAAAAUGUUGCAGAAAUGAGUUAAAUUGAAAGUUGGAUUGAUCCAAGCUACAAGGGCGAGAGGUGAGUUUGAAGAGGUUCAGGCGUUGCCGUGGCGGCCGAGCUUGAAGAGGCGACCGCCGCACUUGGGGCAGGCGUCGUCGCUCUUAGGGACCAUGAAGUACAUGAAGCAAGAUCGGCAGCCAGCGGAGACUAGCGUCUCGGCGGCGGUCGCGGGGGAAGAGGCGGAGGAGAUGGAGGUGAGGCAAGAGUUGGCGGUGCUGUCGACGUUGUCCUCGUUAGUGUCGUCUCGGCUGCUGCCGCUGCCGCUGCCGACCCUGGAGAAGCUGUCAGAGGAAGAGGAGACGUCUUCUUCGUCCAAGAGGUUGCUGGACGAGUAGGUGUGGGUGGCGGCGAUUCGGGGAUCCUUGCUCGUCCUGGUUCCGGUCUCCCGGUUGAAGUAGUAGACCUCCCCUGUCUGCCAUCAGAGGAGGCGAAGGGAGCUCAGAAGAUUGCAAAAUCACAAAAAGGAAGGAUCUUGACGUCGGAAAAGACAGAUCGGUGUGCAUUGAUAACCAAUGAUUGGCGAAAAGGAGAGGAAGAAUUUAAAGAGGUGGGGACGUAUACCUGCAUGUCGAGACACUGCUCCCAGUGGAAAGGCAGCGCCGUCUCCGAGUUCAGCUCCACGGCGACAACACCCGCCGCCGGCGAAGGAAUCCCUCGUUCCCUCCCCACCGUGCAGCUCCGAAGCAGAGCGGCGAUCAUCUCAAUGUUUGGAGCCGUCAUCGGGAUCUAGAAAAACAAAAGGAGCGAGCGAGCUCGAGAGGAAACAGGCGAAGCCGAUCGAGCAACUACGGAAUGAGCAUUUGGGAAGGAGAAGACAACGCCCAUGGAAGGAAGUAAGCAGCAGCUGCAGAUGCCGCUGCUACUGCAACAAUACUCCCCAGAUAUAUGCGAUUUCCUUCUCCAAAUUAAAACUCGAGGCUUCUGAAUCGAAAUAAACAAGAAUUGAAUCGAGACAAGAACGGCGUUGGCCGCCUUGUCCUCAUCUGUUUGUCCGCAGGGUAAAAAGGGACAGUUCUUCGGAUGCAAUUUCGAGAUCACGUAGGGAAUUAAUUAUCUCUUUAUUUUCUGUUUAAUUUCGUGCAUUACGUGAAUCUUGUGCGGGCGAAGAAACCACGCUGCAGUGCAGUUUGGAACUUUGGAGGCAUGCAAUAAAAGAGAUGGGACGCGAUUCUCGAGCGAUCUCGUUCGGCGUUAUUAUUAUUCUGAUCAGAUUACGGCGCCAUUUAUUCAUUUGGUUCGACCCCCAAAAUCUAAAUCCAGCGUGCAAAUCUCCGCGUUGCUAUUGGAGUUGAUAAUUGUUGAAGUCAUGGAUGCUUCUAGUGGUCGCCUGAAUUCAAAUGAAAGAGUCAAGUCAACGGGCUUGGUUGACGCGAAAACUCAGAGGGCCCCACCUGUGAAUUGUUAAGCAUGGGGAAGUUAUUUGUAAAAGUAGCAUGAGACCGAUCGACGGAAGGGGAAGAAGAGAAGAGAGGGAAUGGCGACGAAAGGAAAGGAAGGGGAGCCUGCGCUGGGCGUGCCCUAUGGAUACGCUUAUGGCCAGGAAGCGCCGCAGCCGCAGCCGCAGCCGAAGGUGUAUUACGUGGGCCAGAACCCUUACCAGGCGGGGGCGAUCCCGCCCAACGCGGUGUAUGGCGACCCGAAGGGGAUCCCCCUGCAGCAGACGAUGUACCGAGACACCCCCGCCCCCUUCCAGUGCGUCUUUUGCGGGUCCUCUGGCCUCACAACCGUCAGGUUCGGAUUCUCCUCCGACUUGUACAAUUCUUUCCCUCUUUCCUGAGAAGAUGCGUCCGUAUUACUUCGAUCCGUCUUCUAUUGUUGAGAUCAUAUUUUCCUCUCUUGAUUCUUCCGGUUCCGUUCCGGCGAUCCGAAUGAUUUUCUUGUGGGUUUGUUAUUUUGUUUCUCCUCUUGAGAGUAAAUAUGGACCAGAUUACAGUGAGUGAAAAGUGUAGACGAGGUUGGAUUUGAUCUAAAUUGUUCCUGUGGUUUAUAACUUUAGAUUCCAAUCUUAUUCUUCAUCCUAGCUUUUAGCUUAAUUUGUUGCGAAUGAUAAGUGUGAAAUCAAGUGAUCUUGGUUUCCUGUAAUCCCUUUUCAAUGGAAUAUCUUUGCUUUGAUUUGCCUUGGGCUUAAGCAGGAAUAUACAGAUGUAAGUGCUUGAAAAUUUAACCAAUUUAUAUGUACUGAUUCAGAUUCUUUGGUUAGACUAAUUGAGACAAAUGGAGUAGAGAUAUCAAAGAAAGCCAUAGUUAAUGUAAUGAUACAAUAAUUUAAUUGAUUUGAAUUUUACUGGUGAUACAACCUUUAAUAGUGCUUAAUUAAGGGAUAAGAUCCAUGUAACUCACCCCAAAUUGUGUCAUAGAAUUGGAUAGAAAAACAGAUGUUGAAGCUGCAGCAUGAUGUAUUUGAGAGGACUACCAUCACAAUCAACUUUCCCUAUUCACGCUAACUCCUUUUGUUGUGACUUAAACAUUCGCGAUAUAGGCUUUUGCAAUCUUGAUUUCCAUUCUCAUUUCUAACAGAAAAGCCGAGGAGUUUGCUAUGCAUGAAUUCUGAUGUAUAUCUUUAAGAUCUAUGGUAAUAUUUACUUCUCAAACUGUUUUUUUUUUUGUCUCCAUAAAAUUGCAUAUGGCAUUUGGAAGCUUAAUUAUACAAACUAGUUCAUAUUUCUCAAUGUUCAGUCCAUCCUUGGUAUUCUCUAACCUGCAGAUUAUUUAUAGGCAGUACUUUAGAAUGCCUUCCUGUUCCUAGAUAUGUAAAUGUGUGGUGUUAUGUACUGGGAUUUGUGGUAUUCAGUUUAUGCUUAAGGGAUGCAGAAGCUAAAAAAAGGGAAUUCCUGAGAAACUAAGCUAAGGACAUUUAUUAACAAGACCAAAAAUCUAGGUUGCAAGUGGAAUAGUUCAAAGAAGUAUUUUAUGCUUUCAUUAUCAUAUACCAUAUAUACCAUAAUGAUAAUUUUGAGAAAUUUUCUUCACAGAUACAAGUCGUGACUUCUAACUGUUUAUAGUUUUUUUUUUUGUUGUCGUUGGAAAGUUGAAGGGGAGAGAUGACAAGAAUAUUAUUCUUAUUGUUCUCAAGUUUAUUAACUAAGCUCAUGCUUCUCUGAUAAAUUUCCAUCAUUGGGACAUUGCAUAUUUCAUCUCAUGUGGUGACAUAACUCCCAAGCAUUGAACUGACAAAAUUGGUCUUAAUAUAGAAAGUUCUGGUCAAAUACAGAGAGUUAUGUGCUUGGUCACCAAUCUAUAAGCUUGAACAUUACUCAACUGUAGUUAUUUCUCAAAUUAAUGAUACUUUUUUGGUAUUUUGUGAUUUUACAGAUUAACUAGACUUUUGCCCAUAGGAUAUAUCUGUCAUUGUGAUCGGUGGGAGAACCAUAAAAAGUCAUUAUAUUUGGGCUCAGAAGAGAAGUGUACAUUAAAACUUUGUCUUGAUAAGGAUUUGAACUUAGGCAUGCAAGAACCUCUCAAGUACUGUUUGAUCGAGGAAAUCGAUUCCCAUUUGAUGAUUUCUUUCUGUCAAGUUUAAUUCAAUUGGUAUGUUCCAGCAACUAGUUUCCUACCUGAAGAGUCAGAAGUGAAACCGCUUAAUGUAAGCCUGAUUUUGCCUUUCGACGAUUAGAUGGUCAAGCUCCUUGAUUGAAAUGUGUAUUUGGGUAGUUUCACUUCUAAGACCAAAGAGUGUUAACAUAGAUCCUUCUGGGUUGUAGAAUUUGCAAGGAAGAAGAUUUUGGUGCCCCAAAACUCUUAUCCUUUGGGUGCAUUCAAUAAAUCUUCGAGUGUUCUUUGGCCACUCCAAUCCUUUUUUUUUCAAAUAAAUAAAUAAAUUUAGAGUACUAUUCAUACACUGAUACCACAAGGCUGUUAAUGUUGAACUCGACAAUCAAGCUAGAUAAACACAGACUAUCAAAGAUGAACCUCUGAUUAUGGCUUGAGAAACUGUGGAGUACCGUCGACUGUGGUUUAAUAAGGCUGUUAAUUAAGUCACUUGAGUGAAAACUGUUUCGAUUGGGCACAGAUCGAAACCAAGCCUGGCAGCUGUUGUUGGUUGCAUGAUGCCAUUCAUGCUGGGAGUUUGCUUCCUUUGCCCAUCCAUGGACUGCUUAUGGCACAAGUACCAUUACUGCCCAAACUGUCAACAAAAGGUUGCCGACUUUGAGAAAUCGGACCCGUGUCUGGUUAUGGAUCCACCCCAUUGGCAAGAGAUGAGCUUCGCUGUCCCUGCAUAGUGACUCAUGGCUUCAAUCCUGCAUCAUGGUCAAUUCUGUUUGUAAACGCUUUUCAUAGGGCAAUUCCAUACAUUUGUAAUUGAAAUGCAUACUUUGGAGUGUGGUGUUAGAAAAGAGAUUCAUGUUAGAUCGAUAUUUGGCAUAAUAUUUAGAUGAAAAUAUUAUAUUAUUUUGAUAUGUUCCGUUUAA